UCCACUUCUCGGCCUUUUGGCUAAGAUCAAGUGUAGUAUCGAAGUGUAGUAACAUUUUUAAGGGUUGUAUUCUUUAUUUGAAAAUUUCCCAUCAGACAUGCUUAUAAAUUUAUAUAUCUUUCGUCAGUGUGUGAGAACCUGAAGGUUCCUGAU
rnacentral:snRNA from 1 species